rnacentral:lncRNA from 1 species
UUUUUUUUUUUUUUUUUUUUUUGUCUCCUAAGAGCCAUACUGUGAUAGGAUUAUUUAAAUUGACACAAUCUAUGUAGUAAUUCAGAAUACAGGAAAUAAUUGGUCAGCCCUAGUGCUGAAUUAAGGAGUGUGUCAGCUAUGCUGUUGUCCAGAGCUCCAAACUAUAAGAUGCUCAAUAUCACAGGAUGUAUCAUUUUAAAGAUGGAGAAAAUGUCAUUUACCAGAUUUCUUGGUUGAACUUGAUAUCUUCUGAUAAGCUCACUGGCAUGAGAGCUGAGUUCUCUGAAGACAUGUUUGAGUUAUAAUUGAGGGUUACUUAACUGGUUUUCAAGGAGGUGGGUGCCAUUAUCUAUAGGACUUGUGUUUGCUGGAUAGGAUGAGCAUGACUGAGCAAGACCUGAACUGAUUAGGGCAAUAAAGGACCAGAAUUGCUGCUGGCCAACUUUCCCAGCCCCUCUCCAACUAACAGACACAUAUUUAGGGCAUGUUUGUUUGAAGGGGCAUAAAAUUAUUAACCUUCCUAGGGUACUAUACUGUCCUUUUUUGGCCACAUCUGGAGAGGUGUGCUGAAUUUUAAGUAUAGCAUUUUAAGAUUGACUUUUACAAACUAGAGUUUCCAAUGAGUGGUAGAGAAGGUUGACAUAGUGAUGAGAAGUUGGUCAAUUAUGUGACACAAGGGUUGGAAGAACUAAAGAUGUUUGAGCCAAGAGAAGACAAAGUAAUAGUCAAAGGAGUCACAUGUAAAUGGUGGAGUAAAUUUAUCUUAUUCUCUUAUUCUCUGGAUAUCAACUGGGUAUCCAGCAAUUCAAUCCAAUUUUGGCACUAACUACCAGGAGUUAGCUUCAGAUACCACAAGUUAAAGGAUCUCAAUUCCCAUAAGACUUCUCUCACUUCAGACAUCAAUAUCAGAUCCAAAUUUCUGGCUUUCUUGGCUAAAAAAUCAGAAAUUUCUACAUCUACCCCAUUUCAGUUUCCAUAAUUUGUUAGUAUGACACUCAGAACUCAGGAAAAUGCUGUACUUACUGUAACAACUUACUCUAAAGGACACAAAUGACCAACUAGAUGAAGAGGUCUGAAAUGGUCCUGAGUACACAAGCCUCUGUCUCCAUGGAGUGGGGGUACCCCAGGCUCCCAGCACAUAGAUUUGCUCACUAAUUUAGUAUCUCCCCAAACCCUGUCAUUUAUGGAUGUUUAUAGAGGUUUCACUACUUGGCAUGAUUAAUUAAUCAUUGGCCAUUUGUCACUGAACUUAAUCUCCAUCUACUCUCCACUCCCCAAGGGUCAGAGCAGCAGGACUAAAAGUCCAACCUUCUAAUGUUGGCUUGGCUUUUGAUUGGCCUCCAUCCUGAACCUAUCCAGGUGCCCCACCUUAAGUCACUCAUUAGCAUAAACUCAGACGUGAUAGGAGGCUCAGUAUGAAUAACAAAAGACACUCCUAUCACUCAUGACACUCCAGGGAUUUCUGGAGCUCUGUGCCUGGGCACCAGGGACAAGACCAAAUGUAUAUUUUUUAUAUACCACACUCUGAUGGUUAAUUGUAUGUGUCAACUUGAUUGGACAAAGGAUGCCCAGAUAGCUGGUAAAACAUUAUUUCUGGGUAUGUCAGUGAGGAUGUUUUGGAAGAGAGUCAUUUGAAUCCAUAGACUGAGUAUAGAGGAACCAACCUCAUCGUGUGGUCUGGCAUCAUUCAAUCCCUCAAGGGCGUCAACAGAACAAAAAGGUAGAGAGAGAGAACUCUCACUCUCUUCCUGAGCAGGGAUGCUCAUCCUCUCCUACCCUUGGACAUUAAAGUUCCUGGUUCUUGGGCCUUUGGACCAUGAGAUAUAUACCAGCAGAUCCCUGAUUCUCAGGCCUCUUGAUAUAAACUGAAUUAUACCACUGAUUUUCCUUGUCCUCCAACUUGGAGAAGGUAGAUGGGCGGGAACUUCUCAGCCUCCAACACCACAUGAGCUAUUUUGCAUAAUAAAUCUCCUCCUUUAUUUAUCUACCUAGCCAUCCUAUUGUUUCUGUUUCUAGAAAAGCCUGACUAAUAAGCACACUUACAUUAUCUUUGGCAUAAAUUAUUUGAUGGAAGUUUUAAGGAGGCAAGUUUUAAUUAAGCAUCAGAAAGGACUUCCUCAAAAUGAGAAUUCCAUUAGUUGUCCCUUGGGUAGUGUGAGACAAUGAGCUCUCUCAUUUCCAGAUAUAAGCAGAGGGAAGUUAAAAUUGUCAGAGUUACAGAGAUUCUCCUUUUUUUUUUUUCUUUUUAGGGCCACACCUGUACCUUAUGGAAGUUCCCAGGCCAGGGGUCAAAUUGGAGCUACAGCUGCUGACCGAUGCCAUAGCCACAGCAACGCAGGAUCCAAGAUGCGUUUGCAACCUACACCACAGCUCAUGGCAAUGCCAGAUCCUUAAUCCACUGAGUGAGGCCAGGGAUCAAACCUGCCUCCUCAUGGAUACUAGUUGGGUGUGUUACCACUGAGCCAUGAUGGGAGCUCUGAGAUUCUCCUAAAAAAAAAAAAAAAAAAGCAGAGUUCCUGUCAUGGCACAGUGGAAAUGAAUCUGACUAAGAACCAUGAGAUUUUGGGUUUGAUUCCUGGCCUUGCUCAGUGGGUUGAUCUGGCGUUGCCAUGAGCUGUGGUGUAGGUCGCAGACGUGGCUGGGAUCUGAUGUUGCUGUGGCAGUGGCUGUGGCUGUGGCAGGCAGCUAUAGCUCCAGUUGGACCCCUAGCCUGGGAACUUCCAUAUGCCACAGCUGCGGGCCUAAAAAGCAAAAAAAAAAAAAAAGUUAAGCCUCAAAACUUGGAGAUCUCCUUACCAACCUUAAUAUUCUAAACCAUAAAAAAAAUUCAAAGGGUUAGGAUUUACAUUUUAAAAGAGCAGUUCUUUUUAAAAUGUCAAAGUAGAUAUAGAUCACAUGGAGAAAUUUCAGGUUUUUCAGGUACCCUGCCAAAUAUCAAAAUGACACUGGGGGUUGUCCUCAGCCGCAAGCAUGUUGAGGGGAAAAAAAUACAUGGAGUCAGCAUUUCAGUUCCACAUCGUUGCUAUUGCUUCACCAAUCUCCACCCCCAACUUUGUAAACUCUUUCACAGGUUACUUGCAAACAAGCAAAGAGUUAGGUCUGGGGGAACCGUGAGUGAUGGCCCAGGAAAAUAUGACUAACAAGAAGGAGUGGAGAGACUCUCGCAUUCGAUGCAAACUUACUGGUCAAUGCUUUCUUUUGUCUUCAGAAAAAACUCAUUAAACUUGGUCAGAAGGUAUACUAGUAUACUUCCUAUGCUGUUUGUUAAGCCAAUAAUUCCUGUCCAAGAAUGCAUAUUACUAUGGGCAAAUCAAAAUCCAGGUUACCUUUGUUAAAAGAUAAACAGACAUGUUUAAAAUGUUAAGAAUUUUUUCUGAGCCAGCAUCGACUGUAAUCAUCAUCGCCAAAGGGUGAGAGCUUCACUGUCAGGAGGUAGGGGUGAGACUGAAGGGGGAGGAAGCAAAGCAAGGAAAUUACUUGAUGGGCUUUAGCUUUAAGCAUUUGCCUAAUGUAGAAAAGCCACCUUGGCUACUUGUGAUUGGAUAACCUGAGGCAUCUAUAGGAUCAAGUUUUGGUUUGCUUACAUCAGCUGCUAAGGCAUUGGAAUCAUCUCAAUCUAAUGUCUUCCUUGUUUUAUUAACACUUUCUACUUUUGUGGUCAAAUACCUUUGAUUAUUGGACCCACAAGCUGCUCCAGGGCAUCACCAAUCUUUAAUCAGCUCCAUUUUCAGAGUAGAAAAGUAGCGAAAUUGUUCUUCAGGGGGCAAGCUGACAAGAGUAUUGCCACCACUUGCUUCAAGAACAGAAGUGCACAUUAAUAGGUACUUAACAUGUCAGCCUAGAAUGACUUAUUGAUGAAACAAAAGACCUCUGUAUUUCCAAACACAAUGGUCACUCCUCUGACCACAUCUUGCUCAGUCUCUCAACAGCAUUUAAUCUAGCUCACCAGCCACUAUUUCUUGAGGUACUUUUGUUCCUUAGGCUUCCUUAAGAAAGGGGUGUGGCCCCCUUAUGGUAGGUUUACCAUUGUUCCAACUAUUCACCUUUUAUCCCUGUGAGAGGACGAUACCCCCAAGCUAGGUGGAACUAGCUUGAUGGAAAGUAAGAAGACACAGAGGACACAUCCCACCAUAAGUUUAAUAUAUGUAAUUCAGAACUUCCUCACAUCAUCUCCUCUAGCUACAGCUGAUAUCUGAAAUGAAUUUUCAGAAUUUCUAACUUUUAUUUUAGGUCAUCGAUUUCUAUUGCGUUGCACAUCAUGUUGGGUGAAGAAAACCCUAAAAGGAAAAAGGGAAUUAACAUUUAUUGCAGAUCUAAUAUGUGACAAGUUCUGUCUUAGACCCUUUACAUGUAUCAUCUUAUUUCUUCAUCAUGAUCCCCUCAUUAUUCCCAUUUUACAGAUGGGAAAAUGAAAGCUCAGAGAGUUUAAGUAAAUUUAACUCUUAGCAACAGUCAAACAGUUACUGGGAUUAGAAUUGAGUCUUUGUGUAUCCUAAGCCAUAGUUCUUUCUACAUUAUAAUGCUGGCUCCCUGCAUUCGUCAUGUAUACCUGGGUUAAAAUGAAGGUUAUAGUGGAAAAGAAAGGGCAGGAAGUUAGCAGAUGCCUCAUGGAUGAAACCUGUGGACCCAGGAUGAGGAUGGAAGUUGGUUAUAAUUAUUUAGAAUCCCAGAAGAUUAGAUCUGGAAAGAACAUAAGAUAUCAUGUGGUCCCAUCAAUCAUUUUUACAUGUAAUGAGACUGAAGCUCAGAAAAUGGAAGUAAUCUUUCCCAGUGUGGAAGGAUAAUUAUUUUAGACAUAAUGUUGUUGCAUGCUAAUACAUUAAAAUAUAGUGUAAACAUAUCUUUUACGUGAACUGAUAAAUCCCCAAAUUCGUGCAAAUCACUUUAUGGCAAUAUUCCCUUUAUUGCAAUAAUCUGGAACUAAACUUGCAAUAUUUCCAAAAUGUGCCUGUUUAUAGAACAUACUAUUUUCAUGUCAAAGAGAAAAGUAAGGGGAGCUAUGGAAUCACAGAGCUAGAUGGACAUCAUGUCAUGUCUGCUUAUCUUUCAUUGGCCAAAGCUAAGCCUGACAUCAUUGGUGGCAGAAAAUAUACAUUUUUCACAAAGGAGUUUGGCAAGUCAUGUAGCAGUGGAUGGGAUGUGUAACUCUCUUGUAGAAAGAGAGAGUAAAUAAUUGAGAACAAUAGCACAACCUACCACAUAUAUUAUUUGUGUUUCAUUCAUAGUGAACUUUGCUGUUCCCAGUGAAGAUGGUAGCCCAUUGUUGCGUUUGCUUGCCUCAAGAAGGGCUUGUGGUGCCAAGAUCAAGCAUAACUUGAUGGGUUUGCUUUUGGAAGGCCAAAGCUAUUGAAAUGUCUCUGGAGGACAGUAGGUGAGGAGAAAGAUCAGAAGGGAAGAAGAUGUGAGAGUUAUGGAAAGAUAUUUUAUUCCUCAGGCUUGAAAAGGGAAGAGGUUUUUUUUGGGAGGGGCAGCAAACAGAGAUGAACAUCUGGUCUCAAGAGUUGCAUAAGAUCUUAAGGGCCUUCCCAGCAGCCUGAGAUGGGGCAGAGGGGGACCCACUGUAACAUUAAACUUACUACCAACCCAGUAAUACAGGGAGCAGAAUACACUUUAUUUAAAGAAAUAAAAUAAGUGAGACGUUUUUCCAUCUCACAUUAUGGAAUAAAAUUUAUCAAGACCUCACAGCUAGUAAGGGACAAGGCAAUUCCUUAUACUUUCCUUCAAACAAAUGCUCAUCAUUUUCUAAGCUAGGCCUAGAGUUGCCAUAACAAAGCACCAUGAACUAUGUGGUUCUGACAAUAGAAAUUUAUCAUCUCAUAGUUCUGAAGGUUGCAAGUCUAAGGUCAAGGCAGGGCCCUGCUCCCUCUGAAGGCACACAGGAAGGAUCUAUUUCAAGCCUCUCUCCUAGCUUCUGGUAAUUCCUUUGCUGUGGCAGUAUAACUCCAAUCUUCGCAUGUGUUCUCUUUCUCCCCGUAUGUGGAUCUGUGUCCAAAUUUCCCCUUUUUAUAAGGACAUGUGUCAUACUGGAUUAGGGACCCACUCUACUCCAAUAGGUCCUCAUCUUAACUAAUUACAUCUACAAUGACCUUAUUUCCAAAUAAUGUGACAUUCAUUUGGGUUAAGACUUCAACACAGGAAUUUGAGAGGGACACAAUUUAGCCUACAGUACUCCCUGAGAGGCCCUGGGAUGUAAUUGUCACUGAGACAGUUAUGGGCCUUGACCUCACAGAGUCAACCAUCUAAGGGAGGACAGGUACUGAGUGUGAGUGUGAAGCAGAUUCCAGGUCUUUCCAUUUCAAUUUCCUGUCUCUUGGCCAUUAAGGCUAGUCAACUAAAUGAAUACCAGCAACAUUUUGGGGAUAUUGAUAUACGGUGUGUAUUUCAAGCAAGUUGUUAGAAGAAAAAUAAAGAGUUGGCAUG